rnacentral:rRNA from 1 species
CCUACGGGGGGCAGCAGUGGGGAAUAUUGGGCAAUGGGCGCAAGCCUGACCCAGCAACGCCGCGUGAAGGAUGAAGGUUUUCUGAUCGUAAACCUCUGUCAGGAGGGAAGAAAGCGCAUGGCGCCAAUCAGCCAUGCGUUGACGGUACCUCCAAAGGCAGCGCCGGCUAACUCCGUGCCAGCAGCCGCGGUAAUACGGAGGGCGCGAGCGUUAAUCGGAAUUACUGGGCGUAAAGCGCGCGUAGGCUGGUGUGUAAGUUGGGGGUGAAAUCCCACGGCUCAACCGUGGAACAGCCCUUGAUACUGCGCGACUUGAAUCCGGGAGAGGGUGGCGGAAUUCCAGGUGUAGGAGUGAAAUCCGUAGAUAUCUGGAGGAACAUCAGUGGCGAAGGCGGCCACCUGGACCGGGAUUGACGCUGAGGCGCGAAAGCGUGGGGAGCAAACAGGAUUAGAUACCCUUGUAGUC